rnacentral:rRNA from 1 species
GUUGUUGAGGAAGAUAAUGACGGUACUCAACAAGGAAGUGACGGCUAACUACGUGCCAGCAGCCGCGGUAAAACGUAGGUCACAAGCGUUGUCCGGAAUUACUGGGUGUAAAGGGAGCGCAGGCGGGAAGACAAGUUGGAAGUGAAAUCUAUGGGCUCAACCCAUAAACUGCUUUCAAAACUGUUUUUCUUGAGUAGUGCAGAGGUAGGCGGAAUUCCCGGUGUAGCGGUGGAAUGCGUAGAUAUCGGGAGGAACACCAGUGGCGAAGGCGGCCUACUGGGCACCAACUGACGCUGAGGCUCGAAAGUGUGGGUAGCAAACAGGAUUAGAUACCCUGGUAGUCCACACCGUAAACGAUGAUUACUAGGUGUUGGAGGAUUGACCCCUUCAGUGCCGCAGUUAACACAAUAAGUAAUCCACCUGGGGAGUACGACCGCAAGGUUGAAACUCAAAGGAAUUGACGGGGGCCCGCACAAGCAGUGGAGUAUGUGGUUUAAUUCGACGCAACGCGAAGAACCUUACCAAGUCUUGACAUCCCUUGACGAACAUAGAAAUAUGUUUUCUCUUCGGAGCAAGGAGACAGGUGGUGCAUGGUUGUCGUCAGCUCGUGUCGUGAGAUGUUGGGUUAAGUCCCGCAACGAGCGCAACCCUUAUGGUCAGUUACUACGCAAGAGGACUCUGGCCAGACUG